rnacentral:rRNA from 1 species
AUUGAACGCUGGCGGCAUGCUUUACACAUGCAAGUCGAACGGUAACAGGCCGCAAGGUGCUGACGAGUGGCGAACGGGUGAGUAAUGCAUCGGAACGGGCCCAGUCGUGGGGGAUAACGCAGCGAAAGCUGCGCUAAUACCGCAUACGAUCUAUGGAUGAAAGCGGGGGACCGAAAGGCCUCGCGCGAUUGGAGCGGCCGAUGUCAGAUUAGGUAGUUGGUGGGGUAAAGGCCCACCAAGCCAACGAUCUGUAGCUGGUCGGAGAGGACGACCAGCCACACUGGGACUGAGACACGGCCCAGACUCCUACGGGAGGCAGCAGUGGGGAAUUUUGGACAAUGGGCGCAAGCCUGAUCCAGCAAUGCCGCGUGCAGGAAGAAGGCCUUCGGGUUGUAAACUGCUUUUGUACGGAACGAAACGGUCCGGGCUAAUACCCUGGGCUAAUGACGGUACCGUAAGAAUAAGCACCGGCUAACUACGUGCCAGCCGCCGCGGUAACAC